rnacentral:lncRNA from 1 species
UUCACGUAAUAGAACGAAGCAUGCAUAACAUAUAGCCCCAUCCCGUUACGUAUCAGAGUGACCUAGACGACUCAGUGAAGGCAAGGCCACUCACGACGGAAACUGCACACUAAGCACGAUCACCUGCAAGUUACCCAUAUGAAGGGCAACAUUUUCAAGCAGAAGGGGUGAGAUUUCAUAACAAAAUAAUGUUAAUCAAAGUAAUUCGAAUCAUAAUUAACAU